rnacentral:lncRNA from 1 species
UUUUGUAUUUGUGCUUCAGGUGUGUGUUUGGUUUCUCCAACUAAGACCAUCCAUCUUGUUCGUAAUUGUCGUUGCUUCAGCUCUACCGGUGAGUGGACGGUGGGCGGUAUGCUAAGCGGUCUGUGAGAGCCGCAAAAAACUCCCUUGCCUAGGUAAUCUUGUGAGCAAGCCAUGUCAAAAGCAGUACAUUGGAUUUGUUUCUUUCUUCAAUUGAAGGCUUGGGUUUGGCGGUUUUGCAAUGUGAAUUCUUCACUCUUUUGCCUCGCUAAUAAAAGCAACUUCCUUUUUCAAUUGAAAGUUUCAGUUCCCUAAUUUUGCAAGGUUAACACCUCGCUUUAUUUUUGCCUUUUGGUGGUUUUGCAGGCUGAGCCCUUCACUCCAUUUCCUCCUUGAUCAUAUUUUCUUUGCCGCACUGUUAUUUUCUUGUCACAAGACACGAUUUGCUUGUUCUGCUCUUCAUGUUUCUCCAUUUAUAAUUAAGGGCUGUAUUUAAGAUAAAUAAUUGAGAUUACUCAUUUUUGCUCGAUUAUGAUUGUAAGAAAUAUUGAUAAAAACUUAGUUUUGGUACUUUUGCAAGGUGAACUCCUUGCUCUACUUUUGCCUUGAUUUAUUUUGUCUGCUGUACUGCUAUUUUCUUACUGCUUGUCAGUUGUCUCUGGCUGUUAAAUUUCUUGGUUUGUAAUUAGAUUCUGUGUGCGAGGUUGAUUAUAAACUAUUAGUGUUAAAUUUCUUGACCUGCCUUUAGAAAAGCAACUGGAUUUGUUUGCCUGAAUUGGAGGAUAAGCUUUUGUUAAUAGUUGGUGCGAAGGUAGUAAUAAAUGUAGCUCUUUGUUUUGGUGCGAAGGUAGUAGUAAAUGUAGCUGUUAUGGUUGAACGUCUGAUUGCUCCUUUUUGCAUGAAGUCUACUUCAAUUAUAGCAUAAAAACUACUUUCCACAAUGCUGGAGCAAAAAGAAACAUAUGACAGUGUUAGACCCGAAAACAACACUCUUUUCUAGGCGACCACACAAUGGAGCAAUUGAUGAAAAAGCACAAGUGCUUGUGAGUUGAAAAAAUAAGCAAUAUACAGAUUUCAAACGUAACAAUAAGUAAAUAAAAAGAAAAGAAUAGCAAAUCAAUUAACUACCCACCUCCUCUUGAGCUUGUAGGUUAAUUCAACAAUCUACUUCAAGUUGAUGAAUUACAAUCACUCUUGUGUACAAAGAAAGGUUCACCUCCUCCUUGCCCCGAACUCCACUUGGUCAAGUCAGAACGUUUUACUAUCCCUCAGUACAACCCUCACAGAGUUACACUCAUGAAGUAUUCACUCACAAAUGAAAAGUUUACAAUGAAUCUCACACCACUAAAAUUACAAAUCUUCUUUGAAGAGUAUUUUCUCACUAAAAUCACUCUAAAUCUUUUGUAUUUUUAGUAUACAAAAGUUGUUUGAAGUAUCUGACCAACCACUAUUUAUAUAGGAUCAAAAAAGUGUCUCAAUAAUACUUCCAACGGAUAAAAAGUAGCUGAAGAGUCAACUAGCCGUUGAACUGUUGGAUGUCCGAUAGCCCUGUUUUAUGCGUCCGACAGCGGGCAGUGAGUUUAAAAGAUUUUCUUCAAUUCUUUCGGACGUCCGGUGCAAGCUUUUUGUGCGUCCGACAGCAAACAAAGAGAUUUGAGAAAUUAUUUUGUUUCUGUCGGACGUCCGGUAGAGACAUAUUCAGCGUCCGAUAGAUUUGUCGACUUCAAAGGAUCCUAUUGGACGUCCGAAGUAUGCGUCCGAAGUUGUGCAAUGAUUAUCGGACGUCCGGUACUGUCUUCUUGAGCGUCCGACAGGUUCAGCAUACUCUGUCUUUUUCAAAUGUGCUUAGUUUUUUAACCUGAUUUAUUUCAUUACUGAAAAAGCUUUUGAGGAGAUGUUAGCAACAUCCAUUUGUUUUGUAAUCAUCAAAAGUUAGGGACCAAGGUCAACAUUCUCCUCCUUUUUGAUGAUGACAAAACAUUGGAUGGGAGAAAGAAAAAAUUGAGCAUAUAUAAGCAUAAUCUCCCCCUCACACAAUGCAUCUAAACUUAUGAAUUCAGAAUAAUUCUCCCUUACACAUAAUAUCAAUUUCUCCCCCUUUUUGUCAUCAUAAGGUGAGAGUAAAAAUCUCAUACCGUAAUCCAGCAACAAUAACAGGGAAUCUAACAUUCCAAACAAAAACAGAGAAAUGCUACCAGAAAUCAGCAAUCACCAACAUACCAACAUAUCACAGAGAGUUUAACAGAUCAGAACAGUUUUUUCUCUCCUUUUUUUUGACAUCAUACAAAUUCAGUAAAAAAUCAAGAAAAAUUCAGUUCAAAGCGUCAGAAACAUCAAAAGAGAAUUACAAAAGGUAUUAUGAACAAGAAUCUCAUCAAUUUUACCAAUAUCUCCUACUUGUCAGAGUUAAUAUCAUGUCUAACUAUCCACAUGCAUUUCAUGCCUCUUCUCAUAUUUUUUUCAUAUAACAAUCACUUUUCAUGUAACCUUUUUGAUAACAAAAAUUACACAUAACCAAAGAUUAUUUACAUGAACAAAUUUAAUAAAUCUUACAUGUCUUCUCUUAUAAAUAGUAAAUUCAUUUGCAGCAGAAUUUAUCUUAAAAUGAGGUUUUGAUUUAUUACUUUGAAAAUAGUCUUAUUUUUUAUGCUGGAGCAACUCAUUUAAAUUAUCCAUUCUUUUUAUCAAAUCACCUUGUUCCUUUUUAAACAUUUCACAAAGUCUUAUUUUUUUUAUCAAGUUCAAAGUGUAAAACAGUCUCGCUCUUUUUUAAGAAAUCACUUUCAGUUUUCAGCUUUUUGUUUUCUUGAAAAAGACGUGUAUUGUCUUGAAGAAGAAAACUAAUCUUAUGUUUUAAUUCCGUGAUUCUAGCAUAAGAUUCUUUCAAACUAUCAUGCAAUUUUAUAAUGAAAGAUUCAAGAUCAUCAUCAGUUUCAUCAUCACUAUCAAGUUGAGAGCGACAUGUAGUUACCUCAUCAUCUCCAAUGGCCAUAAAAGUCAAUUGAACAGAUUCUUCUUCAUCUUCACUUUCACCAUCGGAGUUACACUCAUUCCAUAUGAACUGAAAAUUAUUGAAUCUUGAUUUUCUUUCAUCUUUCUUCUUCAUCACUGGACACUCGGUUGCAUAGUGUCUAGAUUGGCCGCAUUCAAAGCAUUUAUUAGUUUACUUUUUGUUGAACUCUAGCUUCCUUUUGUUUCUCAAGUUAUUGGACUGAUUCGGGAAGGAGUUUCUAGGUCCACCUUUUCUGAAUCUCCUCUUGUUAAAUAUUCUUUUGAAGUCUCGUGUGAUGAGUGCAAUAUUACUAUCAUCACCUUCCAUAUCAUCUUCACUCACAGAGGUUGUAUCAUUUUCAUCUUGUAAAGCAUUCAGAGCAAUAUUUUUUCUUACUUUUGUAUCUUUUUCUUCCUGCACCUUGGACUUGAAUUUUAGCUCAUAAGAAGUCAGUGAAUUAAUGAGAGAUUCAAUAGGUAAGGUAUGUAGAUCUUUGGUUUCCUCAAUAGCAGUCACUUUACUUUCCCAAUUCUUCGAUAAGGCAUUCAGAAUUUUUCUAUUUUUCUCACCUAAAGAGUAUUCUUUUUCUAGCACCUCCAAAUCCUUAAUGAGGUCAUUGAAUCUACAAUACAAGUCAUCAAUGUUUUCAUGAGGUUGCAUCUUGAAGGAUUCAUACUUUGUAACUAGAAUAGACUUCUUUUGUUCUCUAACAUUCUUACUACCUUCAUGAAUUUCUCUCAAUUUAUCCCAAAUUUUCUUGGCUGACUUGCAGCCUUUGACUCUAAUAGAUUCAUUUGAGUCUAAAACAUAAUAUAACACAUUCAUGACUUUUGCAUUUAAUGUGAGAUAAGCUCUAUCCGCAGCAGUCAGUUCACUUCUUAUUUUUGGUCUAGAUCUCUAAGUAUUUUCAUCUAUAAGAGAGGCAUCAUAUGGACCUUCAUUAAUAUUAAACCACAAUUCAAUAUCAAUAGAUUGCAAAAAAAUAAUCAUUCUUUCUUUCCAACUCACAUAAUUUGACCCAUUAAACAUAUGUGGUCUAAUAACAGAAUGUCCUUCAAAAAACAUAGCAUUGUUGGUUGUCAUCUUUACUCCAAAGCCGAUUGAGUUUAAUCUCUAGGAGACCAAACUCUGAUACCAAUUAUUAGACCCGAAAACAACCCUCUUUUCUAGGCGACCACACAAUGGAACAGUUGAUGAGAAAGCACAAGUGCUUGUGAGUAGAAGAGAUAAGCAAUAUACAUAUUUCAAACGUAACAAUAAGUAAAUAAAAAAGAAAGAAUAGCAAACCAAUUAACUACCCAACUCCUCUUGAGUUUGAGGUUAAUUCAAACAAGCUACUUCAAGUUGAUGAAUUACAAUCACUCUUGUAUACAAAGGAAGGUUCACUUCCUCCUUGCCCCGAAUUCCACUUGGUCAAAUCAGGACGUUUUACUAUCCGUCAGGACAACCCUCACAGAGCUACACUCAUGAAAUAUUCACUCACAAAUUAAAAGUUUACAAUGAAUCUCAUACCACUAAAACUAUAAAUCUUUUUUGAAGAGUAUUUUCUCACUAAAAUCACUCUAGAUCUUUUGUAUUUUCAGUGUGCAAAAGUUAUUUGAAGUAUCUGACCAACCACUAUUUAUAUAGGAUCAAGAAAGUGCCUCAAUAAUGCUUCCAACGGAUAGAAAGUAGCUGAAAAAUCAACUAACCGUUGGAGUGUCGGACGUCCGAUAGCCCUGUUUUAUGCGUCCGACAGCAGGCAGUGAGUUUAAGAGAUUUUCUUCAAUUUUUUCGGACGUCCGGUGCAAGUUUUUUGUGCGUCCGACAGCAAACAAAGAGAUUUGAGAAAUUAUUUUGUUUCUAUCGGACGUCCGGUAGAGACAUAUUCAGCGUCCGAUAGAUUUGUCGAUUUCGAAGGAUCCUAUCGGACGUUCGAAGCAUGCGUCCGAAGUUAUGCAAUGAUUAUCGGACGUCCGGUACUGUCUUCUUGUGCAUCCGACAGGUUCAGCAUACUCUGUCUUUUUCAAAUGUGCUUAAUUUUUGAACUUGAUUUGUUUCAUUACUGAAAAAGUUUUUGAGGAGAUGUUAGUAACAUCCAUUUGUUUUGUAAUCAUCAAAAGUUAGGGACCAAGGUCAACAGACAGGAUGCUUGUAUUCCAUUGGCAUUACAACUAAUUUAUCUGUCCAAAAGCAAGUAACAAGAAAAAUAUAGGUGGCUUUCUUGACAAUUAUUCAAACAGUAUCUUGCCUAACCAAAAAUGAAGACACUUGAAAGAACACCAAUAAGAGCAAUCACUUAACAUAUAUAGACAACAAAUCAAGCAUCUGGUGCUUUGUUCAUCAUCAACGUUAUUAUCUAUAACUCCCUUCCUGGUCAUUUUUCUCCUGACUAUUUCACAGGUACAUUGAUAACCACAAAGGGAGCAUAGUACUUUCCCGGCAAUUCUAUGAAUGCCAAGUACCACACAGAAGUUUGAACCACUACAAAACAGUCAAGCCAAGCAAUUCUGCAUUGCUGCAGCACCAAUGUCCACCAACCAUUAUUGGCACUGAUAGGCAGCAUUUCUAUGUGGUUAUCCUACGA